rnacentral:rRNA from 1 species
UACGAAGGGGACUAGCGUUGUUCGGAAUUACUGGGCGUAAAGGGCGCGUAGGUGGCCUGUUAAGUCGAACGUGAAAUCCCCCGGGCUCAACCCCGGGAACUGCGUCCGAGACUGGCAGGCUCGAAUCCGGGAGAGGGAUGUGGAAUUCCAGGUGUAGCGGUGAAAUGCGUAGAUAUCUGGAGGAACACCGGUGGCGAAGGCGGCAGUCCUGGACCGGUAUUGACGCUGAGGCGCGAAAGCCAGGGGAG